GAUGAACGCUGGCGGCGUGCCUAAUACAUGCAAGUCGAGCGAACAGACGAGGAGCUUGCUCCUUUGACGUUAGCGGCGGACGGGUGAGUAACACGUGGAUAACCUACCUAUAAGACUGGGAUAACUUCGGGAAACCGGAGCUAAUACCGGAUAACAUGUUGAACCGCAUGGUUCAACAGUGAAAGACGGUCUUGCUGUCACUUAUAGAUGGAUCCGCGCCGCAUUAGCUAGUUGGUAAGGUAACGGCUUACCAAGGCAACGAUGCGUAACCGACCUGAGAGGGUGAGCGGCCACAAUGGAACUGAGACACGGUCCAGACUCCUACGGGAGGCAGCAGUAGGGAAUCUUCCGCAAUGGGCGAAAGCCUGACGGAGCAACGCCGCGUGAGUGAAGAAGGUCUUCGGAUCGUAAAACUCUGUUAUUAGGGAAGAACAAAUGUGUAAGUAACUAUGCACGUCUUGACGGUACCUAAUCAGAAAGCCACGGCUAACUACGUG
rnacentral:rRNA from 1 species